GCCGGGGUGGGGCGGGGCUGGCGCAGCCCGGGCUGAGCUUGCAGGGCGGCUUCACUCACCCAACCUCUUCGAGUCCUCCGCGGGCUCCGCCCCACCCGGCCCGUGGGGCAGGUUCUGUCCCGCGGCCUUCGCCCGCGCGCUGCGCUCCGGGACGGCUCCUGCUCGCGUUGGGCGCACCUUGGCCCGCUGGGCUGCGCUGGCGCUGCUGCUCCUCGGCCUGCUCCGCCCUCUGGUGGCCGCCCCUGGACCUCCUAAAUCCUGGAGGUGGUCUGGACACCUGAUUUAGUUUUCUUUGAAAAUACUUGAAGUUAAAUCCUGUGGCUGGAAGAUGACGGAAGGGAAUUGGCAGGAGGCUACGAGUAUGGACAUCCCCACCAUGACAAAAACGGGUGACCCAGCACCCCCUGAUCCCCCCAAACCAAAGCCAAAUCCAAACCCCAACCGACCUGGUUUCACUGGGGCUGACUUUGACUUGGCAGAUGCCUUUGGUGAAGGAGGAAACAGUGACCCCCAGCACCGCCUGAUCCCCCAAACCAAAGCCAGAUCCAAGCCCCAACCGGCCUGGUUUCACUGUGACAGUCAUUUCACACUGCUCUCUGUCUCAGUGUCUGAGGCACCCUGGGACCGUCCUGACUGGAUGGAAGCACAGUGGCAUUGCUGGCCUGAGCUGAAGUGCUGAUUAAAAUAAAUUGAAAGCUGAAUGACCUUAUGAAGAGCUACUUUACCCCGGAACAAAUAUGGAGAGGAACUCCUUGCCACUGUGUUCUCAAGUAGACCACUUUGGAGAAAUUAUACAUUUGUCAUAACACCUCAAGUCCUGCUCUGCAUAGAAUGCCCAUUAUUAUCAAGAAAAGUUCUCCACUCCCUGUGAUUCAUAAGGAAAUGCAGGCCCAACCAGAAAACAGGAGCUGCCACAACCUUGCGUCAGACACAUUCAAUCUCUCUAUUCACAGUUGCAUUUUCUCUCUCUCUCUCUCUCUCUCUCUUUUUUUUUUUUUUUAACAAAGUCAAUUACCAAUAACAGGGAAAAACAAAAACAAAUAAACACAUUGUUGAGCUCACUUCUGAGAAAGGUUCUGCAUUGUGAAUGUCAGGAUUCCACAUUUCUGAAGCACCUUUGCUCCUCCAGAAAGCACAUCUCUAGUUUCGUGGUGAUACGGGAGAGAAAUGACAAUUGUCUGUAUUAUCAGGAUGGCCCAUUGUUCUCUGUGGUUCUCAAUCAAUGUGGACGUCGACCAUGACCAAGAGGUCCCAAAGCAAAGAAACAAAGCCCCGCAGAGUUCACCCAGAAGGAAAGCCUUCAUUGGAUCAGGCUAUAAGAGGACUCUCCCCUGAGAAAGAUACUUAUUUUGGCGCUGUGUUUAGAGAAAAAGGAAGAACGAUGGCUUUCCCGUAGAAACAUUUACUUAUUUCAUGAUUUGAAAAUGGACUUUUAUGUUUUAGGAAUUAUGUGGAUGGGAUGUUUUCUUGGGUGAUAGGAUUUGAAAUUGCGGAGGGGAGCGGGUGCCAUGUGCCAGCAAUGGCCGGCCGGCCUGCCUUCCUUCCUCCCUCCCUCCAUUUCUCCUUCCCCCCACCCCGUUUCUUCCUUCUUUCUCUCUGUUUCUUCUUUCUUUUCUUUUCUUUUUCCUUCCUUCCUUCCUUCCUUCCUCCCUCCCUCCCUCCCUCUUUCACUUUGUUUGUUUUAAUGAGAGUAGAGAGGAGGAAAAACACUUUUUAUUUUUUGUCUACCUUUAUUGUAAAGAGAGACUGAGAAUACCAUGCCACACAUGCAGGGUUCUGAGCAGAGGGCUACACCCGGCUUAGUUCUAAAGGCACCUACACUUUAUCCUGAAAGCCAUGGAGAGGCCCACAGUUUGAAACACUCAGUCUCUCAGAAGAGGACAGAAGGGGCUGCCAGUGUGAUAGGGAGAGAAAUUGAACAUAGCCGACUCCAUCUUGCUUCUGACUCCUCAAGCUAACUGCUCUUAGGCACUUCCGCACAUGGGCCAAGUUAAUCAUGGGAAGAACUUAGAUUACAGUUUAACUGGAAAGCAAGGAUGAUAAGAAUUCCUUUCCAAAACUAACCUCUGAGGAGAUAAGAAGGGCAUGCACACAAGUAACAAUGUUAUGUUGAAGAUUUGUAGGAGCACUGUGACCUGAGCAAGGACAAAGAAGUUUUGCAAUCUCCUUGGGCCCCUGCUGAUGCCCAAGUGUCCGUGGUCACCAGCCACCCCCCUCACCUCAGCCUCCUCCUUGUUCCCCCUUCUCAGUGUACAAAGAAGUUUGAGAUUCAUGCCUUUAAAGAUGGUUCCUUACGACAAGGGUCCAGUAUCUUCCUGACUUGCUGGCUCUCCAAAUAAAGAUGCUUUUCUUGUUCUAACUUCUUGUCUCUCGAAUGAUUGGCUGUUAUGCAACGAACCUCAGGAACUUUGGACUCCACAGCACUAGGACGACUCUCAGGACUCCCAGUCUCUACUGGGUGCAGGAAUCACUGGGGAGUCUGACUGAAAUGCAGACUCUGAUUAAGGAGGCCUGGGACACGAGUCCUGAGAUUCUGCAUCUCCAGUAAGCACCCAGGGGAUGUCGAUGCUGCUGAUCCAGGGACCACACCUUGGAGAGCAACGCUGAGAAGCUGGUGGAAGAGCCCAGGCUGAUGAGGAUCUGAACAUGGUCCGUAGCAGGGAGGCUGAGAAAAUGAGAUAAAAAUGUUAAAAAUGGCAGAGUUACCUUUCUGGAGAAGAAAUGGCUUUUCCAUUCCUUAUUACGCUCAUGUCUUUGCAGCUAGCUCCCAGUGGUCUCCUUCCUGUUACAUACCUGCAGUUACCAUGUUCUUGUUAAGGAAGAAUUGCAAAUGAAAAAAAAAAAAAGAGGAAGUUGAUCAUGUUUGGUUGGUUUUGGUCAUGUUUGGUCAUCACAAUAAGUAAAUAAAAUCUGAAAUUUC